rnacentral:rRNA from 1 species
AGGCAUCUAAGCGUGAAGCCCCCCUCAAGAUGAGAUAUCCCAUUCUUAGUGAAGUAAACCCCCUUGAAGACGACGAGGUAGAUAGGGCAGAGGUGGAAGUGUGGUAACACAUGGAGCUGACUGUUACUAAUCGGGUGAGGGCUUGACCAAG